rnacentral:rRNA from 1 species
CAGCCGCCGCGGUAAUACGUAGGUGGCAAGCGUUGUCCGGAAUUAUUGGGCGUAAAGGGCUCGCGGGCGGUUUCUUAAGUCUGAUGUGAAAGCCCCCGGCUCAACCGGGGAGGGUCAUUGGAAACUGGGAAACUUGAGUGCAGAAGAGGAGAGUGGAAUUCCACGUGUAGCGGUGAAAUGCGUAGAGAUGUGGAGGAACACCAGUGGCGAAGGCGACUCUCUGGUCUGUAACUGACGCUGAGGAGCGAAAGCGUGGGGAGCGAACAGGAUUAGAUACCCCUGUAGUCCCUGUCUCUUAUAC